AUUGAACGCUGGCGGCAUGCCUUACACAUGCAAGUCGAACGGCAGCACGGGAGCAAUCCUGGUGGCGAGUGGCGAACGGGUGAGUAAUAUAUCGGAACGUGCCCAGUCGUGGGGAUAACGUAGCGAAAGCUACGCUAAUACCGCAUACGAUCUAUGGAUGAAAGCGGGGGAUCGCAAGACCUCGCGCGAUUGGAGCGGCCGAUAUCAGAUUAGGUAGUUGGUGAGGUAAAGGACUCACCAAGCCGACGAUCUGUAGCUGGUCUGAGAGGACGACCAGCCACACUGGGACUGAGACACGGCCCAGACUCCUACGGGAGGCAGCAGUGGGGAAUUUUGGACAAUGGGCGCAAGCCUGAUCCAGCAAUGCCGCGUGCAGGAUGAAGGCCU
rnacentral:rRNA from 1 species